rnacentral:rRNA from 1 species
AUUGAACGCUGGCGUCAGGCCUAACACAUGCAAGUCGAGCGGAUGAAGGGAGCUUGCUCCUGGAUUCAGCGGCGGACGGGUGAGUAAUGCCUAGGAAUCUGCCUGGUAGUGGGGGAUAACGUCCGGAAACGGGCGCUAAUACCGCAUACGUCCUGAGGGAGAAAGUGGGGGAUCUUCGGACCUCACGCUCUCAGAUGAGCCUAGGUCGGAUUAGCUAGUUGGUGGGGUAAAGGCCUACCAAGGCGACGAUCCGUAACUGGUCUGAGAGGAUGAUCAGUCACACUGGAACUGAGACACGGUCCAGACUCCUACGGGAGGCAGCAGUGGGGAAUAUUGGACAAUGGGCGAAAGCCUGAUCCAGCCAUGCCGCGUGUGUGAAGAAGGUCUUCGGAUUGUAAAGCACUUUAAGUUGGGAGGAAGGGCAGUAAGUUAAUACCUUGCUGUUUUGACGUUACCAACAGAAUAAGCACCGGCUAACUUCGUG